GGAAAAUAGCAUUACGUAGCUGUUUGGCAAUUAAAGUAACCAGUUUGCAUUUUAAGCCGCAACAUUUGCCUUGAUUUUCGGUUAUGGUUACUCUAAUUGCGGAGCAGCUGCACUUCUUAACUUUUGACACCAACACACACUCUUAUACAAUUUCCAACGAACCCAAAACGCGUCUUUCUCGUUCGCUGCUACCAGCACGAAUGUGCGAUUACUGGUAACAGGGCACAGCAACCAACCUUAACAUUUCGCUG